AAGACCCCCCUAUGGAGCAGGAUUUGCUUCAGUGGGGCUUUGGUGCUCACUGAGUCUGCCCCUUGAGUGUUGCUUG
rfam:Myotis davidii contig149038, whole genome shotgun sequence.